GGUUCUGCUUUAGCGCUAGGAUGUUCCAGAAAUUUUGUGUUGGGAGAUCAUGGUGUUCUAGUUGGUGUUUGAUUCUUGGUCUGUCUGACUCUACGUGUAAUUUCCCUUGGUCAUCUCCAGCCCUUCUGUGUAUAACCCGACCUGGCCAGUAUAGAGUGCCCCGGAGUCAUUGUAGUUAAAUUAGCUGCUGCAAUAACUUAUCAGUUACUCUGGGAAAGGUUCUCUGCCUUAAACCUCCCGGCCUCCCAGCCACUGGGAUGCCUUACCCUUAUAUCCUGCCAAUUUGCUCAGGCCAUAACUGCUGGGUCUGGCUGGGAACGAUCAGGCCUUUGCACUGCUUAGAAGAUCAUGGCAAUGGCUCAAGUAAUGCUAAAUCUGCAGGGGUAACCGGGAGCUCAGGGUGCCCCCCUACUUGUCCUAAAACCCUCCUUCCAGACAGAUUUUGGGGGAGCAGAGCUAGUUUUUAUGUAUUCACCAGUCAGUGUAAAUUACUCUUUAACUUACAGCCUAGUGGUUUUCCAAAUGAUACUAUAAAAGUGGGAUUCAUUUCAAGUUUGCUUUAAGGAUCUGUUUCGUGUUCCCAUUAAAUUGACCCUGAAUGCUCAAAGGACAAGCUCAAGACUUUAUUUGCCUCAGCGCUGAUUCUAGUUCACCUGGAUGGACCCUCGACUUUUCUUUUCCAGAUUUCAUUUUCCCAUCACCCUUUGCCCUGGUUCCAAGAAUAGCAACAGUGAUGUACUCUGCAGAUCCCUGGGUCUUGGACCAGGUCUUUAAAAACUGACAUUGCAGUCACGGAUAAGACACUAUUUAUUUCAUCCGCUGUCAGAUGAUAUUUGGAAAAAAAUUAAAAUUUGAAGCUUAAUCUCUUAUUUA